rnacentral:rRNA from 1 species
GACGAAGGUGGCUAGCGUUGUUCGGAAUCACUGGGCUUAAAGAGCACGUAGGCGGGGCCGCAAGCGUCAUGUGAAAUCCCCCGGCUCAACCGGGGAAUUGCAUGGCGAACUGCGGUUCUUGAGGCAAGUAGGGGUGCGUGGAACUCUUGGUGGAGCGGUGAAAUGCGUAGAUAUCAAGAGGAACGCCGGAGGCGAAAGCGGCGCACUGGGCUUGUCCUGACGCUGAGGUGCGAAAGCCAGGGGAGCGAACGGGAUUAGAUACCCCCGUA